rnacentral:rRNA from 1 species
AUUGAACGCUGGCGGCAGGCCUAGCACAUGCAAGUCGAGCGGAUGAAGGGAGCUUGCUCCUGGAUUCAGCGGCGGACGGGUGAGUAAUGCCUAGGAAUCUGCCUGGUAGUGGGGGAUAACGUCCGGAAACGGGCGCUAAUACCGCAUACGUCCUGGGAGAAAGUGGGGGAUCUUCGGACCUCACGCUAUCAGAUGAGCCUAGGUCGGAUUAGCUAGUUGGUGGGGUAAAGGCCUACCAAGGCGACGAUCCGUAACUGGUCUGAGAGGAUGAUCAGUCACACUGGAACUGAGACACGGUCCAGACUCCUACGGGAGGCAGCAGUGGGGAAUAUUGGACAAUGGGCGAAAGCCUGAUCCAGCCAUGCCGCGUGUGUGAAGAAGGUCUUCGGAUUGUAAAGCACUUUAAGUUGGGAGGAAGGGCAGUAAGUUAAUACCUUGCUGUUUUGACGUUACCAACAGAAUAAGCACCGGCUAACUUCGUG